CGGAAGCAACACAGUCACGCCCAAAAGAAACGACAGAGAAAAGCAAAAGAAACAAAUGCCGACAACGGCGGAUCAACAAAAACGAAGAAGCCUCGCGAUCGCAGCGCCCACCAGGAUCUUCCACUAGACUCCAAGACUCCGAAGCGCCGGCACCUAUCAACACCUCCAACAAGGAUCGCGACGAUGAUGAUGCUGCUGCCAAGGGUUUCCCCCGGUACACGACGAGGCGAGAGGAAGGGUAGCCCCGACGCCCUCCCGGAAGGUCAGGUGGCACCCACAGGCGCCACCGCGCCGGUGUUGGCCAUGCCGACAGGGGUUUCCCCCGAUCCCAACCCGCACCUCGGGCGCCCCGGAGCCUGCCACCAAACCAAUCAC
rnacentral:rRNA from 1 species